UACGGAAGGUCCGGGCGUUAUCCGGAUUUAUUGGGUUUAAAGGGAGCGUAGGCCGGAGAUUAAGCGUGUUGUGAAAUGUAGACGCUCAACGUCUGCACUGCAGCGCGAACUGGUUUCCUUGAGUACGCACAAAGUGGGCGGAAUUCGUGGUGUAGCGGUGAAAUGCAUAGAUAUCACGAAGAACUCCGAUUGCGAAGGCAGCUUACCAGGAUGUUACUGACGCUGAAGCUCGAAAGUGCGGGUAUCGAACAGG
rnacentral:rRNA from 1 species